CCUUGGGAGGGAGCUGUCGAAGGUGGGAUCGGCGAUUGGGACGAAGUCGUAACAAGGUAGCCGUACCGGAAGGUGCGGCUGGAUCACCUCCUUUCU
rnacentral:rRNA from 1 species